UCUGAGCGGCCGAGCCCCGCCCCAUCCCUCCUUGUCCGGCCCAGAGCAGAGGGCACCGCCCCGAGCGGAACGGGGCGGUUGGGCUGUGUGGAGUCGCCCCUUCCUACGAAGUGUGCUCCCAGAAACUCGCUAGCUAUGUCGGCUGCGGAGGUGGGGGGUGUUUUCCACAGAGCCCGGGACAGAACCCUGGACGCGUUUCUCGCAGAAGAGGAACGGGAAUGGAAAGGCCCAUUCUACUUCAUCCAGGGUGCAGACCCACAGUUUGGACUGAUGAAGGCCUGGUCCACCGGGGACUGUGACCAUGGUGGUGAUGAAUGGAGCCAGGAGAUCCGCCUCACAGAACAGGCUGUCCAGGCCGUCAACAAACUGAACCCCAAACCCAAAUUCUUUGUUCUGUGCGGUGACCUUAUCCAUGCCAUGCCAGCCAGAGAGGAGGAUGCAAACCACAUGGACAGCUUUUCCAGCGUCUGUAGUGGAGGUGAAUCCCCCUCAUUUGAUCACUCAGUCGGUGUCCAUGGGACUCCCUGGCGCAAGGAGCAGACUGAGGACCUGCAGCGAGUUCUCAAGGACCUUGACAGGGAAAUCCCGCUGGUCCUUGUCAGUGGCAACCAUGACCUGGGCAACAUCCCCACAGCAGAGACCAUCGAGGAGUUCCAGCACACGUGGGGAGACGACUACUUCAGCUUCUGGGUUGGGGGUGUCUUGUUCCUGGUGCUCAACUCCCAGUUCUGGUACAAUGCCUCCCAGUGCCCGGCCCUGAAGCAUGCCCAGGACCACUGGCUGGACCAGCAGCUGAGCAUCGCUGGACAGCGGAAGUGCCGCCAUGCCAUCGUGUUCCAGCACAUCCCUCUGUUCCUGCACAGUAUCGAGGAGGAGGAUGACUACUUCAACCUCACCAAAGCUGUGCGCAAGGAACUGGCAGACAAGUUCAUUGGUGCAGGUGUCAGAGCUGUGUUCUCAGGCCAUUACCACAGGAAUGCUGGGGGCACCUACCAGAACCUGGACAUGGUGGUGUCGUCUGCCAUUGGGUGCCAGUUGGGCAAAGACACGCACGGGCUCCGUGUCGUGGUUGUCACUGCUGAGAAAAUCACUCAUCGGUACUACAGUCUAGAUGAGCUAAGGAGGGAGGGAAUAGAAGAGGACCUGAUGAAGCUGAUGAAGGAGGAAUGAGUGCCCUUCGCAACCUGUCCACUUUCCACUUCCAGUUUUUUAUUUUGCCAGAAACAGCAGCAGCACGCAGCCCUUUGUUGAAAUCAGGUUUGGAUAUAAGAGGUCAAAGGGGCGUGACUGAUGAGCCACUGGAGAGGUGGAAGGUGUUGACACUGGAACCAUGAGCACAUGGGCUCUGACUGCAACGGGGCCUCUCAAGAGGGAAAUGGGAAGAGUUUAAUCAGAGGACCAAAGAAGGUGCUGUCUGUCAUGUUCAGUGCACAGAACUGGGGAAGAACAUAUGAUAAUGAAAAGUAAUGGGAAUUAAACUAAGUAAAUCCUUUUCUCACAAAAUCCUAGCAAGUCAAAGAAUUGAUUUGAAAUGCCCCAGGAAUAUGUUAAGAAAAAGGAUUCCGGGCCUCUCGGAGCUAUUUGGCUCCGGGAGUGCUGUCUGGCCAGACUAAUAACGGUCUGUUUUCCAAUUAGUCCCGUGUGUUCCUUCCUGGGUGAUUCUUGCUGCUUGGCAAGCUCCUGGAGCAAUCGCUGAACUAUAGGUCCCAGCAUUGUGGAGGCCCUUUUGGCUGUUCACGGCUCCCAGAAGUAAGACCCUGGGUCUUGCGCCCGGAGCCUUUGUUGGGCUAUAGGACUCAGCAUCGUGGAGGCCUUUUGGCUGUUCACGCUCCGGAGUGGAAGUGAGAUUUUAGGUCUUACAUUUUGGAGGCCCCAGCAAGAUCCCCAGGUGGGAACUGUAAAUCCAGCCAAGACUUCUCUGUAGCAGGAUCCAGCAGGAGAUUCUCGGAUAUAGACCUUUGAAAAGCCUCCGGAGGUAAGCUUUGGGCCGGUUGCAACCGUUUGUUGUCAGGAUCGAGGUUAGUUAGAAAUUUUAACUAUUUGAUAAAUGUAUCUUUGUUUCAAUUUGAAUUAAGUUUAAUU